GGCGGGAUAGCUCAGUGGUAGAGCAUAUGCUUAGCACGCACCAGGUCCUGGGUUUAAUCCCCAGUACCCCCA
rnacentral:tRNA from 1 species